rnacentral:rRNA from 1 species
UGGGGAAUAUUGCACAAUGGGCGCAAGCCUGAUGCAGCCAUGCCGCGUGUGUGAAGAAGGCCUUCGGGUUGUAAAGCACUUUCAGCGGGGAGGAAGGCGGUGAGGUUAAUAACCUCAUCGAUUGACGUUACCCGCAGAAGAAGCACCGGCUAACUCCGUGCCAGCAGCCGCGGUAAUACGGAGGGUGCAAGCGUUAAUCGGAAUUACUGGGCGUAAAGCGCACGCAGGCGGUCUGUCAAGUCGGAUGUGAAAUCCCCGGGGUCAACCUGGGAACUGCAUUCGAAACUGGCAGGCUAGAGUCUUGUAGAGGGGGGUAGAAUUCCAGGUGUAGCGGUGAAAUGCGUAGAGAUCUGGAGGAAUACCGGUGGCGAAGGCGGCCCCCUGGACAAAGACUGACGCUCAGGUGCGAAAGCGUGGGGAGCAAACAGG